rnacentral:lncRNA from 1 species
GGACUCUCCAGGUACAGCUCUUGCCUCCUGGCAGCCUCUGCAGGCCCAAAUUCUCCAAAAGUUGGCCUCUCCUAACUCAGCUCCUGCCUCAUGUCGGCCUACACAGGCCCAGACUCUUACCACACAGUAGACCCUCCAGGCCCACCACUUGCCUGAUCAUAGCCUCCUAAGGCCAAGCUCCUGCCUUUCAGCAGCCUCUACAGGCCCAGCUCCUGCCUCGCAAUUGCCUUUGUAGGCCAAGAUCAUGCCGCGAAGUGGCCUUUCCUAGCCUAACUUUUGCUUUUUGACGCAUACUCCAGUCCCAAAACUUCCUCCAGUCAGCCGGUCCAGGCCAAGCUCUUCCUCCCAAAGGCUUCUGCAGGCCAAAAUCAUCCUGAAGUCACCCUCUGCAGGCCCAGCUCCUGCCUCCAAGUGCUGUGUAGGCCAAGCUAAUGCCUCACAGCACACUUUCCAGGCUGAGCGUUUCCUUUUGUGCAUCCUCUCCAAGCCCUGAACUUACUCCACUUGGCCUCUCCAGACCAAGCUCUCCCUCCCAGUGGCCUCUACAGGCCAAAAUUGUCCUCAGGUCUGCCUCUCCAGGGCCACCUCUUAGCUACCAGUGGCUUCUGCUGGCCAAAAUCGACCUCAAGUCAGCCUCUUCACACCCAGCUCUUGCCUCUGAGUGGCCUCUCCAGGAGCAAAACUUUCUCAAGUCGGCCUCUCCAGGCCCAGCCUCCUGCUUCCCGAGGGCAUGUACAGGCCCAGCCUCUGCCUCACAGCAGACUCUCCACACCCAGCUCUUCCCUGUCUGCGGCCUCUCCAGUCCAAAGCUGCUGCUGCCUUUUGGCAGCUUGUACAGGCUCAGCUCCUCCCUCACGGUGGCCUCUUUCAGCCCAACUCAUGCCUCUUGCAACCUGCCCAAGUGUCAGCUCCUGUCUCACACUGGCCUGUUGAGGGCCAGCUCAUGCCUCUCGUGGCCUCAACAGGCCCAUCCCCUGCCUGUCGGCGGCCUCUACAGGCCCGGCCUCUACCUCACAGUGGGCUCUCCAGGCCCACCUCUUCCUCACCGUGGCCUCCUGGGGCAAUGCUCCUCCCUCUCGGGAGCCUCUGCGGGCCCAGCUCCUGCCUCCCAGUGGCCUCUGUAGACCAAGCCCGUGCCUCAGGGCAGCCUUUCCAGGCCUAGCGUUUGCUGCUUUGCAUCCUCUCCAGGCCCUGGACUUCCUCCAGUCGGCCUCUCCAGGCCCAGCUCUUCCUCUCGGCGGCCUCUGCAGGGCCAGACUGUCGUCAAGUCGGCCUGUCCAGGGCCAGCUCCUGCCUCCCGGCGGCCUCUGCAGGCCCAAGUCGUUCUCAAGUCGGCUUCCCCAGGCCCAGCUCCGGCCUCUUGGCGGCCUCUCCGGGUGCAAAAGUUCCUCGAGUCAGCCUCUCCAGGCCCAGCUCCUCCUGCCUCCCAGUGGCCUCUUUCGGCCCAGCCCAGCUCAUGCCUCCCGGCGGCCUUCCCAGGCCCCGCUUUUGACUUUCGGUGGCCUCUGCAGGCCUCGACAAGGCCCGGCCUCCUGCCUCCAGAAGGCCUGCACAGGCCCAGCCUCUGCCUCACAGCGGACUCUCCACGCCCAGCUAGCUCUCGCCUCACUGCGGCCUCCCGAGUCCAAAGCUCCUGCCUCUCGGCCGCUUCGGCAGGCCCAGCUCCCGCCUGCCAGUGGCCUCUUCAGGCCCAUGGGGCUCAUUCCUCACAACAGCCUUUCCAGGCCCAGUUUUUCCCUUCCGGCGGCCUCUCCGGGCCCAGAACCUCCUCAAGUCGGCCUCUCCAGACCCACUUGCAGCCUCCCGGCAUCCUCUCCGGGCCCAGCUCUUCCUCCCGGCUGCGUCUCCAGGCCCGACUUUGGCCUCCCAACAACGUCUUUGGACUCAGCUCCUGCCCAGCUCCCAGCGGCCCUGGUAGGCCCACAGCUUCCCGAAGCCAAGCUCCCCAGGCCCAGCUCAGGCCUCACGGUGGCCUCUCCAGGCCAGCUCCUGCCCUCUGAUGGCAUCUGCAGGCCCCAAACGGCCUCCGGUUGGUGGGCUCCUCUAGGCCCAGCUUGGGCCUCCUGGCGGCCUCUGCAGGCCCAAAUCGUCCUGAAGUCGGCCUCUCCAGGCCCAGCUCCGGCCUCCCGGCGGCCUCUGCAGGCCCAAGUCAUCCUCAAGUCAGCCUGGAAUUGGGCCUGGAAGAGAGCAAGUCGGCCUCCCCGGGCCCAGCUCCGGCCUCUUGGCGGCCUCUCCGGGUGCAAAAGUUCCUCGAGUCAGCCUCUCCAGGCCCAGCUCCUCCUGCCUCCCAGUGGCUUCUUUCAGCCCAGCCCAGCUCAUGGCUCUCAGCGGCCUUCCCAGGUCCCGCUUUUGACUUUUGGCGGCCUCUUCAGGCCCAGAACUUGACCUCCAGUCGGCCUUUGCAGGCCCGGCCUCCUGCCUCUCAAAGGCCUGCACGGGCCCGGCCUCGGCCUCGGCCUCACAGCGGACUCUCCACGCCCAGCUAG